CCUACGGGUGGCAGCAGUGAGGAAUAUUGGUCAAUGGGCGCGAGCCUGAUCCAGCCAAGUAGCGUGAAGGAUGACUGCCCUACGGGUUGUAAACUUCUUUUAUAAAGGAAUAACGUGAGGCACGGGUGCCUUUUUGUAUGUACUUUAUGAAUAAGGAUCGGCUAACUACGUCGCAGCAGCAGCGGUAAUACGGAGGAUCCGAGCGUUAUCCGGAUUUAUUGGGUUUAAAGGGAGCGUAGAUGGGUUUUUAAGUAAGUUGGGAAAGUCUGCGGCUCAACCGUAAAAUUGCAAUUGAUACUGGCAGUCUUGAGUACAGUUGAGGUAGGCGGAAUUCGUGGUGUAGCGGUGAAAUGCUUAGAUAUCACGAAGAACUCCGAUUGCGAAGGCAGCUUACUAAACUGCCACUGACAUUGAUGCUCGAAAGUGUGGGUAUCAAACAGGAGUAGAUACCCCGGUAGUC
rnacentral:rRNA from 1 species